ensembl:snoRNA SNORD34 Small nucleolar RNA SNORD34
GCUGUCUAUGAUGUUACCUAUCACUUACCUACCUUGUUUGAAUGACUUUUGAAAACAAAAGAUGUCUGAGACAGGC